rnacentral:tRNA from 2 species
GGGGCCGUAGCUCAGCUGGGAGAGCGCGACGUUCGCAAUGUCGAGGUCAGGGGUUCGAUCCCCCUCGGCUCCACCA